GAUGAACGCUGGCGGCGUGCUUAACACAUGCAAGUCGAACGAAGCACUUUAUUACAAUUUCUUCGGAAUGACGAUUUAGUGACUGAGUGGCGGACGGGUGAGUAACGCGUGGGUAACCUGCCUUAUACAGGGGGAUAACAGUUAGAAAUGACUGCUAAUACCGCAUAAGCGCACAGGAUUGCAUGAUCUGGUGUGAAAAACUCCGGUGGUAUAAGAUGGACCCGCGUCUGAUUAGCUUGUUGGUGAGGUAACGGCCCACCAAGGCGACGAUCAGUAGCCGGCCUGAGAGGGUGAACGGCCACAUUGGGACUGAGACACGGCCCAAACUCCUACGGGAGGCAGCAGUGGGGAAUAUUGCACAAUGGGGGAAACCCUGAUGCAGCGACGCCGCGUGAGUGAAGAAGUAUUUCGGUAUGUAAAGCUCUAUCAGCAGGGAAGAAAAAAAUAGACGGUACCUGACUAAGAAGCCCCGGCUAACUACGUGCCAGCAGCCG
rnacentral:rRNA from 1 species